rnacentral:hammerhead_ribozyme from 1 species
AUCGAUCUGACGAGUCCAAAAUAGGAUGAAACGCGCAUUAUAGAU